rnacentral:lncRNA from 1 species
UAGAAGGUUAUAUUUGAAAGAAAAAAUGACAAUUUUAUAAAGAUAAUGACUGUUCCUAAUAAUUCGCCGACAGAAUUAACUUUGGAAAUAUAUUUGAAAGAUUUUGAAAUAUUAAAAGAUAACUUUCUAAGAGCGAUAAAUAAGAAAGUCGGUAACUUUUCAAAAGUAUGUAAGCAAUUGUCCCUUAUUCUAAUUUAUUAUUUUGUUGUGAUGGAGAAAUGAGAGGGAGAUUUAUGAAUG